CUAAGACAAGAAUGUGGAUGAUACAUUUGUAUUCUGCAAAGCACUCGGAGAUCUAUGAACCUCCCCAUGGUGUUAGCUUGUGGUGCUGAUCAUCUGUGCCUACAUCAGGGGGUCUUCAUAGUUCUGAACUGCAUCUGAGCUGGGAGAAAGCAUCAAAGUACUUUCUCUUAAAAUGUUUUUCAAUAUAUUGCUAGCUUUUACACUUUAACUUGAAGUACUAAGUCUUCAG